UACGUAGGGUACAAGCAUUAAUCGGAAUUAUUGGGCGUAAAGGGCGCGUAGGCGGGGAUGUAAGCCAGGUGUGAAAUACCAAAGCUCAACUUUGGUGCUGCAUUUGAAACUGCAUUUCUUGAGGACUGACGGAGAAAGCGGAAUUCCAUGAGUAGCGGUGAAAUGCGUAGAUACAUGGAGGAACACCGGUGGCGAAAGCGGCUUUCUAGUUUUUACCUGACGCUGAGGCGCGAGAGUAAGGGGAGCAAACAGG
rnacentral:rRNA from 1 species